rnacentral:rRNA from 1 species
CCUACGGGGGGCUGCAGUGGGGGAUAUUGGACAAUGGGGGGAACCCUGAUCCAGCAACGCCGCGUGAAGGAAGAAGGCUUUCGGGUUGUAAACUUCUUUUCUCAGGGACGAAGCAAGCGACGGUACCUGAGGAAUAAGCCACGGCUAACUACGUGCCAGCAGCCGCGGUAAUACGUAGGUGGCAAGCGUUAUCCGGAUUUACUGGGUGUAAAGGGCUUGUAGGCGGGACUGCAAGUCAGAUGUGAAAACCACGGGCUCAACCCGUGGCCUGCAUUUGAAACUGUAGUUCUGGAGUACUGGAGAGGCAGACGGAAUUCCUAGUGUAGCGGUGAAAUGCGUAGAUAUUAGGAGGAACACCAGUGGCGAAGGCGGUCUGCUGGACAGCAACUGACGCUGAGGCGCGAAAGCGUGGGGAGCAAACAGGAUUAGAUACCCUGGUAGUC